CAUUCCUCAGACCCCGAGCUCGACCUCGGUGAUGCUUGGAGCUGAGAUGUGCUGUGCUCUGCCCCGGUGAAAGCAGCUGCCUGAAAACACAGGACUGGAAUGAGAAAGCUGGGGCUGGAACAGCCCCUCUGGUUAGAUCUGGUCUCCCCCAGUCACUGUUGCUCAAUAGAAUUCUCUUUGUAAGUUAAAACAAUCCAUCUGGCCAGCUGUGAAGGUGGAGGUAGCUUGGGCUUGGCUGGUUGUCCAGGCUCUUGCUGGGGAGUUUGGCCCUGAUGCCACAAAGUGGCUAAACUGAUAAUCUCCAGGUUCAAACAUCACAGCCUUUACUGGAGCUUUAUCUUCAGAUGAGAAGCCCAAGGAUCCAUUUUUCCAUGAAACAUGUUCCCCUGGGCACAGCAGUUCUCAUCUGAUGGCUGUGUUGCUCCUGCCUGAGCAUGGAGCUGUGUUUCUUCUGGAUGACUUUAUGGAUUACUCUAUCACAGAUGAAGCUCAACCUCUGAAUUUACCAAACUGCCAUCUGAUGCUUUCAUUGGAGUCUCACCUGGAAGACACAUGAGUUGGUGUGACAGGAGACCUGCUCAUGGCCACGUUUUUUUGCAUGCCUUCCAGAUACCAUCA